rnacentral:rRNA from 1 species
UACGUAGGGGGCAAGCGUUGUCCGGAUUUAUUGGGCGUAAAGAGCGUGUAGGCGGCCAUACAGGUCAGCUGUGAAAACUCGAGGCUCAACCUCGAGACGUCGGUUGAAACCGUUUGGCUAGAGUCCGGAAGAGGAGAGUGGAAUUCCCGGUGUAGCGGUGAAAUGCGCAGAUAUCAGGAGGAACACCGGUGGCGAAGGCGGAUCUCUGGGCCGUAACU